CCCGCCUUAGCUCAGCCUGGUCAGAGCGGGUGACUGUAGAUCAUCAGGCCCCCGGUUCAAAUCCGGGAGGCGGGA
rnacentral:tRNA from 3 species